UUAAUGAAAACGAUUACAGGUAAUUCUCCUUAAUAUACUGGAGAAUAAAAGGGAAUCCAUAUCUUAUUUCAAUUGAAAUGAGAUGAGGAGCGGACCCGCCGCUGUAACCGGGAACGAACGUCACGAUGCCACUGUCUUAUUUAAAUAAGACGGGAAGGUGUGAUUAGUAGGACGAUCCGGGAGCCAGAAGACCUGCCUGUAAUUGCUUCACGUA
rfam:Planctomycetes bacterium GWA2_39_15 gwa2_scaffold_16094, whole genome shotgun sequence.